rnacentral:misc_RNA from 1 species
UACGUAGGGGGCAAGCGUUGUCCGGAAUCAUUGGGCGUAAAGCGCGUGUAGGCGGCUUGGUAAGUCUGGUGUGAAAACUUGGGGCUCAACCCCAAGCCUGCACUGGAAACUGCCUCGCUUGAGUCCGGGAGGGGAGAGCGGAAUUCCUAGUGUAGCGGUGAAAUGCGCAGAUAUUAGGAAGAACACCGGUGGCGAAGGCGGCUCUCUGGAACGGUACUGACGCUGAGACGCGAAAGCGUGGGGAGCGAACAGG